ensembl:antisense Nudt12os nudix (nucleoside diphosphate linked moiety X)-type motif 12, opposite strand
AAACAGAGGAAACCUAAGAUACACACUAGCUUCAGUAAAGCUGCUGUGUAAAUGGCAUUUAAAAUCACUGUUAUCACCACUGACAGAGAUGACGUCAGCUCUUUGCCACCUGAGUAAAUAAACAUUUAUAAGGUGCUGUAAGUCUGAAGAAUGUCACACUGCUCCAAUAGACUUCAUUUUCAGGCAAGAGUGAAAUAGGCAACCACAAGAACCCCGUCACCACAUUUGAUGAGUUGUCCAUUCUCUUCUCUAAUACAGCAGCACCGGGUUCAAUACCGAGGGCAAACCAAGCAACCAAACCGUCCUCCUCUUCCUCUGGGACUCCUCCCGCCUGGGCGGGUGAGCCUUUCCUCAUCUCAAGCUCGACUCCAAGGAACACCAAGAAACUGGACCACAUCGGGAUGCCCGUUCCUGGCGGCGUACAUUAAAGCAGUCCAUCCAUUUUCAGAAGUCUCAUUGAGAAGAGAUGGAGAAUGGCUGAGUAUUCCUGCUAACUUUGCGACAUUUCCCUCUGCGGCUGAACUGUGGAGUUCAGAAAUCAUCUCCUUUUUGGGAUUUCUUUUAACAGAAGACAUUUCUUCCUUUAAAAAAAAAAUGAGAUAGAAGUGAGAAAGACCUUAUUGACAAUUGCUCUUCGCACGAAUGGAUGAACAUUAUUUAGAUGCUGAUCUUGGAAAGGCAGCAUGUUUCCAAACCAGUACACCUGUCAAAAGAUAAUUCAUAGUCAACUGCUACUGCAGUAGAGAAGGGGGACCGAGCCGGGGCACAGAGUGGAGGGGGUUAAAGCAGAGAGAAUUAGAGGCCAAUGCUUAUGGAGAUGUACUGCAGGUUCAACCCAGAGCCUUGUCUCCUGGAUUUUGAAACAGCAAUGUGGCUAGUCAAAUCCACAGCCUAGUCUGCAUAAAGUUCAGGAAAACAAUGGAUCCAAGAUUAACUUUC